rnacentral:rRNA from 1 species
CAAGAGCGUAUGUCAAAGUUGUUGCAGUUAAAAAGCUCGUAGUUGAACCUUGGGUUUGGUUGGCCGGUCCGCUUUUUUGCGAGUACUGGAUUCAACCGAGCCUUUCCUUCUGGCUAACCAGUCGUUUCGGCGGCUGGCGAACCAGGAUUUUUACUUUGAGAAAAUUAGAGUGUUCAAAGCAGGCAUUAGCUUGAAUAUAUUAGCAUGGAAUAAUAGAAUAGGACGUUAUGGUUCUAUUUUGUUGGUUUCUAGGAUCAUCGUAAUGAUUAAUAGGGACGGUCGGGGGCAUCAGUAUUCAGUUGUCAGAGGUGAAAUUCUUGGAUUUACUGAAGACUAACUACUGCGAAAGCAUUUGCCAAGGACGUUUUCAUUAA